rnacentral:rRNA from 1 species
GUAACACGUAGUCAACCUGCCCUAGAGACAUGGACAACCCCGGGAAACUGGGAUUAAUCCGUGAUAGGUCAUCUCAUCUGGAAGGAGAGAUGGCUUAAAGGGGCGCGCGGGCUUCUUCCGCGUAUUCGCUCUAGGAUGGGACUGCGUCCGAUCAGGCUGUUGGCGGGGUAAUGGCCCACCAAACCUGUAACCGGUACGGGCCUUGAGAGAGGUGGCCCGGAGAUGGACACUGAGAGAAGGGUCCAGGUCCUACGGGGCGCAGCAGGCGCGAAACCUUCGCAAUGCGCGAAAGCGUGACGAGGUUAAUCCGAGUGGUCCCCGCUGAGGGGAUCUUUUGUCAGCUGUAAAUAGGCAGGCGAAUAAGGGGAGGGCAAGCCUGGUGUCAGCCGCCGCGGUAAUACCAGCUCCUCGAGUGGUCGGGGCGAUUAUUGGGCCUAAAGCAUCCGUAGCCGGUUCCGUAGGUCCUCUGUUAAAUCCACCCGCUUAACGGGUGACCUGCAGAGGAUACCGCGGGACU